UACGAGAGGCCCAAACGUUAUUCGGAAUUACUGGGCUUAAAGAGUUCGUAGGCGGCAUUGCAAGUAGGGUGUGAAAGCCCUCGGCUCAACCGAGGAAUUGCGCUCUAAACUGCAGUGCUCGAGGAACCUAGAGGUGAGCAGAACAGAUGGUGGAGCGGUGAAAUGCGUUGAUAUCAUCUGGAAUACCGGAGGCGAAGGCGGCUCACUGGGGGUUUUCUGACGCUGAGGAGCGAAAGUGUGGGGAGCGAACAGG
rnacentral:rRNA from 1 species